UGUCUACACCACUAAGCACAGAUUAUGUCUGUGCUACAUAAUUGAACAAAUAUCAAGUAUUGGAAAUAAAUUAUUCUAUUUGUUAUGACAUUGAUGUAGCACAGACAUAAUCUGUGCUUAGUGGUGUAGACAUC
rnacentral:miRNA from 1 species